rnacentral:tRNA from 1 species
GGGGUUGUGGCUUUGUGGUACAGUGCUUGCCUAGUAUGCAUGAGGUACCGAGUUUGAUCCUCAGCACCACA